ACUCCUACGGGAGGCAGCAGUGGGGAAUAUUGGGCAAUGGAGGAAACUCUGACCCAGCGACGCCGCGUGCGGGAUGAAGGCCUUCGGGUUGUAAACCGCUUUCAGUAGGGAAGAAGCGAAAGUGACGGUACCUACAAAAGAAGCACCGGCUAACU
rnacentral:rRNA from 1 species